GGCAAGAUGGCCGAGUUGGUUAUGGCGUGAGGUUAAGGUCUACCUUGACAUAAAAAGAUAAUUUCCUCAUGGAGCAAUCCGCGUGGGUUCAAGUCCCACUCUUGUCA